CUUUACUGUAGCCUGGUAUUGGGUUCGGGCUUUGCCUGCGCAGGAUAGGUGGAAGACUGAGAAGUGUGCCUUGUGGGGCACAUAGAGUCAACGGUGAGAUACCACUCUGUCAGCGCUAGAAUUCUAACCUUCACCCGUGAUCCGGGGAAGGAACCGUAUCAGGUGGGCAGUUUGACUGGGGCGGUCGCCUCCUAAAAGGUAACGGAGGCGCGCAAAGGUGUUCUCAGGCUGGUUGGAAAUCAGCCGUAGAGUGUAAAGGCAGAAGAACGCUUGACUGUGAGAGUGACAACUCAAGCAGGGUGGAAACACGGCCUUAGUGAUCCGACGGUAUGCGCGUGGAAGUGCCGUCGCUCAACGGAUAAAAGUUA
rnacentral:rRNA from 1 species